rnacentral:rRNA from 1 species
GGAGGCAGCAGUGGGGAAUAUUGGACAAUGGGGGCAACCCUGAUCCAGCCAUGCCGCGUGUGUGAAGAAGGCCUUUUGGUUGUAAAGCACUUUAAGCAGUGAAGAAGACUCCGUGGUUAAUACCCACGGACGAUGACAUUAGCUGCAGAAUAAGCACCGGCUAACUCUGUGCCAGCAGCCGCGGUAAUACAGAGGGUGCAAGCGUUAAUCGGAAUUACUGGGCGUAAAGGGAGCGUAGGUGGCUCGAUAAGUCAGAUGUGAAAUCCCCGGGCUUAACCUGGGAACUGCAUCUGAUACUGUUGAGCUAGAGUAUGUGAGAGGAAGGUAGAAUUCCAGGUGUAGCGGUGAAAUGCGUAGAGAUC